rnacentral:rRNA from 1 species
AACGAACGCUGGCGGCAUGCCUAACACAUGCAAGUCGAACGAGACCUUCGGGUCUAGUGGCGCACGGGUGCGUAACGCGUGGGAACCUGCCCUUAGGUUCGGAAUAACUCCCCGAAAGGGGUGCUAAUACCGGAUAAUGUCUGCGGACCAAAGAUUUAUCGCCUUUGGAUGGGCCCGCGUUGGAUUAGCUAGUUGGUAGGGUAAAAGCCUACCAAGGCGACGAUCCAUAGCUGGUCUGAGAGGAUGAUCAGCCACACUGGGACUGAGACACGGCCCAGACUCCUACUGGAGGCAGCAGUGGGGAAUAUUGGACACUGGGCGAAAGCCUGAUCCAGCAAUGCCGCGUGAGUGAUGAAGGCCUUAGGGUUGUAAAGCUCUUUUACCCGGGAUGAUAAUGACAGUACCGGGAGAAUAAGCUCCGGCUAACUCCGUG